rnacentral:misc_RNA from 1 species
UGCUGCACAAUCUUGAUUCCAGUGUGGCGGGCUUGCCAUGAUUUCUUACUCUGACACACAGCUUUCAAGAAAGGCAACAGUGCUGGAAUCCCCAAAGCAGAGGCAACAACACUAAAAGCUCUAGCAGUUGUGUUCCUAACAUACUCAUCAAUGUUAUCAAUAUCAGGACGCAUAGCAGCAAUCAUAGUAGCCAACCCAGCUGCUUUACUUAAAUUAGAGAUGAUCUCUCUCCCUUCCACACGAGCAUAAUAGUCCUCAUCAAUCAACAAUGGUUCAAUCACAACAAGAAUCUUGUGAACAUAAGGCCUGACCAACUCAUCCAACUUAUACAAAACCCUAUCGAUUACCUUCACCAAAAGAUGCCUCUCUUGAUCUUCCAAGGUGGGCUGCAUAAGCAGUGGCAAAAUUCGGUUAAACAAAGGCCCAGCACCAAACUCUCUCGCCUUAUCAGUCAACUGCCUCAAAGCAGU